GGUUCAGUGGUCUAGUGGUUAUGAUUUCUGUCUCACACACAGAAGGUCCCCGGUUCGAUCCCGGGCUGAACCA
rfam:Cylindrobasidium torrendii FP15055 ss-10 unplaced genomic scaffold CYLTOscaffold_536, whole genome shotgun sequence.